AGAGUUUGAUCAUGGCUCAGAUUGAACGCUGGCGGCAUGCUUUACACAUGCAAGUCGAACGGCAGCACGGGGGCAACUCUGGUGGCGAGUGGCGAACGGGUGAGUAACACAUCGGAACGUAUCCUUGAGUGGGGGAUAACGCAGCGAAAGUUGUGCUAAUACCGCAUAAGCUCUGAGGAGGAAAGCGGGGGAUCGCAAGACCUCGCGCUGGAGGAGCGGCCGAUGUCCGAUUAGCUAGUUGGUGAGGUAAAGGCUCACCAAGGCGACGAUCGGUAGCUGGUCUGAGAGGAUGAUCAGCCACACUGGGACUGAGACACGGCCCAGACUCCUACGGGAGGCAGCAGUGGGGAAUUUUGGACAAUGGGGGCGACCCUGAUCCAGCCAUGCCGCGUGAGUGAAGAAGGCCUUCGGGUUGUAAAGCUCUUUCGUGGGGAGCGAAACGGACACGGUUAAUACCUGUGUUUACUGACGGUACCCCAAGAAGAAGCACCGGCUAACUACGUGCCAGCAGCCGCGGUAAUACGUAGGGUGCGAGCGUUAAUCGGAAUUACUGGGCGUAAAGCGUGCGCAGGCGGUUUGUUAAGUCAGAUGUGAAAGCCCCGGGCUUAACCUGGGAACUGCGUUUGAGACUGGCAAGCUAGAGUCUUGUAGAGGGGGGUAGAAUUC
rnacentral:rRNA from 1 species